GGGUUGUGAGGUUAAGCGACUAAGCGUACACGGUGGAUGCCCUGGCAGUCAGAGGCGAUGAAGGACGUGCUAAUCUGCGAUAAGCGUCGGUAAGGUGAUAUGAACCGUUAUAACCGGCGAUUUCCGAAUGGGGAAACCCAGUGUGUUUCGACACACUAUCAUUAACUGAAUCCAUAGGUUAAUGAGGCGAACCGGGGGAACUGAAACAUCUAAGUACCCCGAGGAAAAGAAAUCAACCGAGAUUCCCCCAGUAGCGGCGAGCGAACGGGGAGCAGCCCAGAGCCUGAAUCAGUGUGUGUGUUAGUGGAAGCGUCUGGAAAGGCGCGCGAUACAGGGUGACAGCCCCGUACACAAAAAUACACAUAUUGUGAGCUCGAUGAGUAGGGCGGGACACGUGGUAUCCUGUCUGAAUAUGGGGGGACCAUCCUCCAAGGCUAAAUACUCCUGACUGACCGAUAGUGAACCAGUACCGUGAGGGAAAGGCGAAAAGAACCCCGGCGAGGGGAGUGAAAAAGAACCUGAAACCGUGUACGUACAAGCAGUGGGAGCACGCUUAGGCGUGUGACUGCGUACCUUUUGUAUAAUGGGUCAGCGACUUAUAUUCUGUAGCAAGGUUAACCGAAUAGGGGAGCCGAAGGGAAACCGAGUCUUAACUGGGCGUUAAGUUGCAGGGUAUAGACCCGAAACCCGGUGAUCUAGCCAUGGGCAGGUUGAAGGUUGGGUAACACUAACUGGAGGACCGAACCGACUAAUGUUGAAAAAUUAGCGGAUGACUUGUGGCUGGGGGUGAAAGGCCAAUCAAACCGGGAGAUAGCUGGUUCUCCCCGAAAGCUAUUUAGGUAGCGCCUCGUGAAUUCAUCUCCGGGGGUAGAGCACUGUUUCGGCAAGGGGGUCAUCCCGACUUACCAACCCGAUGCAAACUGCGAAUACCGGAGAAUGUUAUCACGGGAGACACACGGCGGGUGCUAACGUCCGUCGUGAAGAGGGAAACAACCCAGACCGCCAGCUAAGGUCCCAAAGUCAUGGUUAAGUGGGAAACGAUGUGGGAAGGCCCAGACAGCCAGGAUGUUGGCUUAGAAGCAGCCAUCAUUUAAAGAAAGCGUAAUAGCUCACUGGUCGAGUCGGCCUGCGCGGAAGAUGUAACGGGGCUAAACCAUGCACCGAAGCUGCGGCAGCGACACUAUGUGUUGUUGGGUAGGGGAGCGUUCUGUAAGCCUGCGAAGGUGUACUGUGAGGUAUGCUGGAGGUAUCAGAAGUGCGAAUGCUGACAUAAGUAACGAUAAAGCGGGUGAAAAGCCCGCUCGCCGGAAGACCAAGGGUUCCUGUCCAACGUUAAUCGGGGCAGGGUGAGUCGACCCCUAAGGCGAGGCCGAAAGGCGUAGUCGAUGGGAAACAGGUUAAUAUUCCUGUACUUGGUGUUACUGCGAAGGGGGGACGGAGAAGGCUAUGUUGGCCGGGCGACGGUUGUCCCGGUUUAAGCGUGUAGGCUGGUUUUCCAGGCAAAUCCGGAAAAUCAAGGCUGAGGCGUGAUGACGAGGCACUACGGUGCUGAAGCAACAAAUGCCCUGCUUCCAGGAAAAGCCUCUAAGCAUCAGGUAACAUCAAAUCGUACCCCAAACCGACACAGGUGGUCAGGUAGAGAAUACCAAGGCGCUUGAGAGAACUCGGGUGAAGGAACUAGGCAAAAUGGUGCCGUAACUUCGGGAGAAGGCACGCUGAUAUGUAGGUGAAGCGACUUGCUCGUGGAGCUGAAAUCAGUCGAAGAUACCAGCUGGCUGCAACUGUUUAUUAAAAACACAGCACUGUGCAAACACGAAAGUGGACGUAUACGGUGUGACGCCUGCCCGGUGCCGGAAGGUUAAUUGAUGGGGUCAGCGCAAGCGAAGCUCUUGAUCGAAGCCCCGGUAAACGGCGGCCGUAACUAUAACGGUCCUAAGGUAGCGAAAUUCCUUGUCGGGUAAGUUCCGACCUGCACGAAUGGCGUAAUGAUGGCCAGGCUGUCUCCACCCGAGACUCAGUGAAAUUGAACUCGCUGUGAAGAUGCAGUGUACCCGCGGCAAGACGGAAAGACCCCGUGAACCUUUACUAUAGCUUGACACUGAACAUUGAGCCUUGAUGUGUAGGAUAGGUGGGAGGCUUUGAAGUGUGGACGCCAGUCUGCAUGGAGCCGACCUUGAAAUACCACCCUUUAAUGUUUGAUGUUCUAACGUUGACCCGUAAUCCGGGUUGCGGACAGUGUCUGGUGGGUAGUUUGACUGGGGCGGUCUCCUCCUAAAGAGUAACGGAGGAGCACGAAGGUUGGCUAAUCCUGGUCGGACAUCAGGAGGUUAGUGCAAUGGCAUAAGCCAGCUUGACUGCGAGCGUGACGGCGCGAGCAGGUGCGAAAGCAGGUCAUAGUGAUCCGGUGGUUCUGAAUGGAAGGGCCAUCGCUCAACGGAUAAAAGGUACUCCGGGGAUAACAGGCUGAUACCGCCCAAGAGUUCAUAUCGACGGCGGUGUUUGGCACCUCGAUGUCGGCUCAUCACAUCCUGGGGCUGAAGUAGGUCCCAAGGGUAUGGCUGUUCGCCAUUUAAAGUGGUACGCGAGCUGGGUUUAGAACGUCGUGAGACAGUUCGGUCCCUAUCUGCCGUGGGCGCUGGAGAACUGAGGGGGGCUGCUCCUAGUACGAGAGGACCGGAGUGGACGCAUCACUGGUGUUCGGGUUGUCAUGCCAAUGGCACUGCCCGGUAGCUAAAUGCGGAAGAGAUAAGUGCUGAAAGCAUCUAAGCACGAAACUUGCCCCGAGAUGAGUUCUCCCUGACCCUUUAAGGGUCCUGAAGGAACGUUGAAGACGACGACGUUGAUAGGCCGGGUGUGUAAGCGCAGCGAUGCGUUGAGCUAACCGGUACUAAUGAACCGUGAGGCUUAACCUUACAACGCCGAAGCUGUU
rnacentral:rRNA from 1 species